GGCACACGUAGAGGAGGCGCCGUGCAGUUUGGGGUUUGGGCCGUGUGCACGGGUUCUGGCUGGGCUGGUGCUCGUCCACUCUGCCGGGCCUAGUCCUGAGCGGGCACUGGCUGGAUGGAGUUGGAGCUGUGCGUGUGGGUCCCUGCCAGUAGCUUGGGUUUGGGGCAGUGGCGGCAGAAACUGAAAGCAGCUUUCUUUGCCUGCGCAGCCUGGGGAGGCAGUUCAGGCGCACCCCGCUGCAUGCCCAGAGGCAGCGGGAUGCACCAAAGGCUAGACAGUGAUUGGGCAAGACAGGAUUGAGGUACCUGCCAAGGGGCAGACUGAGUCCCUCCAUGGGCCACAUCUGCCCAUGCUACUCAUGGUGUUUCAUAUGGAACAGGUUUUAGGAGCAGAGUAUCUGGAAGGAGGACUACUGUUGUAAAACUGUCCGUCUCCCUGCAGCUGUCUCCCCACACGGAUUUGUGGCGCUGAGCAGCCGUAAUAUGCUGGUGCCCUGCCCAUGGCGUUUUCCCUCCCCCCUCAAGGCCAGUGCCCCUCGCUCCCCUUUUCUAUGCUGAUGCUGAAACCUGUCUAGAGAGCAGGUUGCAAAGCACCACACUUUCAUUUUUUAAGCAGAAAAAGAAAUGAAAAAACCUGUUGUUGUUCAGGAAGCACCGCAGGACAUCAGUUCAACUUCAGGGGAGUUUGAGAUGUGUGGUAUACAGAUUCUCACCUGUGCAGGAGGGAGGAGGAGGCUAACAGCAGAUUGUCUCCACUUUGCAAAUGUCUUUUAAAGCUUUCCUCUGUUCACAUCGAAUGUUUACGUGUGGUUUUUGCUUUGUUUUUUAAAUGGAUAUUCCGAUACGUGUCAAGCAGAUUGGCGUCGCUGGAAGUUUGGGAAUGGGAGCGAAUCCGUUUUCCAGCGGACUUGGGAGAUGUCAAUGAGCGGGGGCCCGUGUCCCUGGAAAAAAUACAACUCUGGAAGGGAAGAGCACUGCUCAUCUCUUUCCCUGCCCACCUGGGAAUGCUCCUUGUCCUGUUUUGUUUCUUUUACUCUGCUGUCAAGACCGAUUUUUAAUUUACAAAGGUUCACAAAACCAAAAAUCAGUUGGUGUUUUAAGCUGCUUUUUUCCCACCUUUUCAGGAAGCAGUUACUCAUCUUUGGUCUUGCCUGGUAUUGAAGGCUGGAGAAACAGAUUCUUAUUGUACUUUCUCAGGCCAUUGCUUGUGAUGUAAAUGCAGGCUUAUUACUUGUUAACAGUUGCAAAGAGCAUGUUCAUCUAACACAGGAGGUACAUGGUCCCACUAGGGACCUCUUACUGGACUUGGUGCUGGCGACAGGGGAUGACCUGGUAGGGAAUUGACUGACUCGAGGUAACCUAGGGGACAGUGACCAUCCAUUGAUUGGAUUCACUAUCUGGCACAGGGUGGGAAAAAUAACCAGUAGGGUAGGAGUGCUAGACUUCAGUGUGGUCAGGAGAUUAGUUAGCGAGGCGCUGAAGGACAAGAGCACUGGUAAGUUGGGAGUCCAGGAAUGGGAGUUGUUCCUAAAGGGAGCAAUCCUACAGGUGUAGGAGAAGAUGAUCCCGUUGCACAGGAGAGGGGAAAGAGGGGCCAAGAAACCCUCUUGGCUGAACAGCAAAAUGCAGGAAAACCUAGGGGCAAAAAAGAGGCAUAUAGACAGUGGAAGCAUGUGAGAUUUACCAAGGUGGAGUAUACCUACUUGGCCUGCGCUUGCAGGGAGGCAGUUAGAAAGGGUGAAGCAGAAAUGGAGCUUGGGCUGGCAACAAAAAUUAAAAACAAGUAAAGUCUUUCUUUAGGUGUAUAAGGAGUAAAAAGAAGGUGCCAUGGUAGCAUAGGAACCCUACAGGACAAAGUAGGGUAAAUAGUGAUAGGUGGGGUGAGCGGGGCAAGGUUGAGCUCUUCAGUGAGUUUUUUGCUUCUGUAUUCCUGAACAUGGAACAGGACAGGUCUCCCAGCUGGAUGCUAGACAGGCAUAAAAGGGACACCAGCCCACCAAGUGUUUGUGCCAACUUGGUGAAGAGGCACUUGGAAAGACUGGGUGUGUUUAAGUCAGCAGACCCACGUGAUCUUCAUCCAAGGGUGCCAAAGGAUUUGGCAGCAUUAUAGGAGAGCCCCGACACAGCUGUUUGAGCACUCGUGGCACUCGGGUCAGGUCCCAGAGGGCUGGAAAAGGGCCAGUGCGGUCCCUACCUUUGAGAAGGGAAAGGAGGAUCCGGGUAACUAGACACCAGUUAGUCUCACUUCUAUUCUGAGGAAAACCUUUGAAAACAUUAAGGAUCACAUUUGUGGGAGUCCUGGAAGGUGGGGGGAUGCUGAAGGGCAGUGAGCACAUAUUCAUAGCAGGUAGAUCCUGCCUGACUAACCUUGUUUCUUUUUAUGACCAGGUCACAAAAUGCUUACACACAGGAAUUGAGGUAGAUGUCAUCUACUUGCAUUUUAAGAAGGCCUUCAAUAUGGUAUCUCAUUCUAAUGUCAUUAAUAAACUGAGCCGCUGUCACGUAGAUGAUUACACGAUCAGGUGGGUGGCAAAAUGGCUCAGCGUCAUACCCAGAGAAUGGCGGUGGAUGGGUCGGUAUCGACCUGGAAAGAUGUGGGCAGUGGAGUCUGACAAGGCUCGGUCCUUGGACCUGUGCUGUUUAAUGUCUUCGUGAGUCACUUGGAUGAGGGCGUGGAAAGCACUCUGUCCAAAUAUGCAGAUGAUACCAAAUUUAUGGGUAACGUUAACAUGCUAAAGCAGAGGUCCUCAAACUGUGGUCUCUGGACCAGCGCUGGUCCACAAGCUCCAUGUAGGUGGUCCUCAGAAAGGUUGCAGAACAAUUGAGAAUCUCUGCAUUUGGCCCUGCAGUUGAUUACUUUUUUUUCCGGUGACGGAGAUUAAGCGGUCCGCUGAGACCCUCGGCAAUUUUCAAGCGGUCCGUGCAAAACAAAGUUUGAGAGCCGGUGCGCUAGAGGGUUGGGACCAAAUCUGUGGGCACCUGGGCAGGUUGGAAAAAUGGGCAGACCAGAAUAGGAUGCAGUUGAACAAAGACAAGUGCAAAGUGCUGCACCUAGGGAGAAGGAAUCACCGGCACGCUUACAGGCUGCGGGAGGGCUUUCUCAGCAUCAGAGCAGCGGAAAGGGAUCUCGGAGUCAGCGUUGAUACCGAGAUGAGCGUGAGUUGUCAACGUGACAAAGCGAUUGGUAAAGCUAACUGCACUUUAUCAUGUGUUCGCAGGUGCAGGACAAACAGGUCCAGGGAGGUGAUGCUUACCCUCUACGCGACAUUGGUCGAGCUGCAGUUGGAGUACUCUGUCCGGUUUUGGACGCCACACUUCAAGAGGGAUGUGGACAACCUUGUGAGGGUUCAGAGGAGGGCAAAAGCUAGUCCUUGCGCUCCUGUCCUUGGAACCAGCUUAUCGGCGAGGAAGCGCAGCGUGACAUUCGGAACCAAAAGGCCCGGAGUAGAAGGGCCCCCGACAUCCGUCGCAUCUGCAACGGGUCCCUGCGUGAGCUACUGAGAAACGAGCGUUUGGGGCCCGCACCGGUCUCUCGGAAACAUCCGAGCCAGCCCCGGCAGCAGGUGCCUGCGCGUUCCUGCCUCGUACGCGGUCAGGGAACGCUACGCACCAGCAGUUGCCUCGGCUUCUGACCGGACGCACGCCGUUUGCUCGCAAGCAUCCAAAGCUAGCACCUCCAGCGGCUGCAGCUGUUGCUUCCCAACUACUAGGAGAGCCUUGCAAAAGCAAUGGCCUGCCCCUGGGCCAGGCUGAUACCAGUGGCUCAGACCCAGAGACUUGCUGUUGUACCUCCCGGUGUCUGGAUUAGGUGUCGAGCACUUGGAACUCUGGCAGCUUCAGCACAUAUUAACCUCUCGUCCUCCUGUGGCCAACACCACGGAGCCCGUGACCCUAAUGUUUCUGUCAGCCUCUGUCCCACCCUUCCCCUGAAGGCCUCCCGUGAAAUCCCUUGUCCCAUCACAGUCUGCAGGUUGGCUCCAGCGGUAUUUCCCAGCUGCACGUGGAGAGUUGCAAGGGAGUGUCAGCGAGGAGCUGCAGCGUGAAAGAAGUGGGACUUGGAAAUAUCCAAGGGACCACGGGUAACAGUUUGACGGGCGUCACGUAGACUCGUUUUGCUGAAACUUUGGGAACGGGACCGAACCCAUUUUCCUGUGCGCUUGGACCUGCAGAUGGCUGGGGCCCGUGUCCCUGGGGAAACUCCGAGUCUGGAAGGGAGGAACACUGCUCAUCUCUCUCCCUGCCUGCCUGGGAACGCUCCUUGCCUUGUGUUUGUUAGACUCUGCCAUUUAGACCUAUUUUAACUUGUAACAGGGUCACAAAACCAAAUGCCAGUUGCUGCUCGUAGCUGCCGUUUCCCAUCGUUCCAGAAAGCAGCUACUCGCUCUUGGUCUUGUCUGGUAUUAAAGUCUUGAGAAACAGAAUUUUAUUCCACUUUUUUUGGCCGUUCCUUGGGAUGUAAGUGUAGGCUCGCAGCCUAUUCCUUGUAUGCCAGCUUAAGCACGUGUCGUUCUUAAGUUAGGCUUCUGGUAGGUGUGUAGUCUGCAAUACUGAGCGUGGUCUGUCAGGCCCUGACCAUAUUUUCAGUUUACACCGAGGGGAAUCUGCCCAUAGCCUUCCUUCCCCUUUCUCAUCACCAUCUUCGUAACAUCCCUGCCUCUUUACUUGUCGCUCAUUUCAGGAGCUGUUGUGUGCCAGUGCUUCUGUUCCCUGGUGCUUUCCCCGGGUACCCACCCUGUCUCCUGUACGUGGUGGAGGACCGGUUUAAGGAGUUGCACGGAGGGCCUCACAGAAGUCCUGUGUGGUCACGGGUUUACAAUGAAGACUUGCAGCUGUGUGUUACUAUUUCUGGGGUGUGCCGUGUGUGAGGUGCAGCUGUCAGAGGAACGCUUUGGAGAUGUCGCUCACGCAGGGAAGCAAAAUUGUUCUGCUCCCCACUACUGAGCUUUAAAGGGUGAUACCUGUGAGACAUCACAUCCCCUGUCCAAACCUGAGCCAUCUGAGCAGGGGAAGUGGCAUGGGAGCGGGGGCCAAGAUACCUGGUUGACAGCCCAGACUGCAAGUUGAAGGCUGCAAUGGAAGCGCUCAGUGUGGCCUGUCAGAUUCCAACAAAAUCUGUCAAGUCUUACAUGUAGCUUAUCACAAGGAAAAGAAAAGGACAUGAGCAGGGGCCCAUGUUAGAGUCUUAGUGCAUUGGUCAGCGAUUGGGGGUGAGGGGGUGCAUGUCCCUCCUUCACUGCCUGUGUGUUGACUGUCAUUGUUAAAGGACCAGGGUUGGGGGCGGGGGCAUUCUUGGCUGCUUGGCCAAGUGCCUGGGGGAAGAGCUAGGAGGGAGGGGGAGGUUCAGCAACCCCGGACUGGCCAGGUCUCCCCCUGCCUCCCACAGGGCUGCGCUACCUGCUACUGGCAGUGACUCUGCCUGGAGCAGUUGGCAGGCCCUUGUAAGCAGCCUGCACUGCUUGGGAGAUGUGGGCUGUGACACCUUGGUUUUCUGGACUGUGGUAAGAAAGCAAACAGCCUUGUAGUACAGGCUUCAGUUGUGGGACUGCACCCUGUUGUUGAGACCCCCCCCAGGGGCUUAUUUCUUGUAUGUCCAUGCAGGAUAGUUGGAGGGGUGGGGAAUGGAAGGAAGAGGCAUGGAUGAGACCUGCAUCUUCUGUUCAGCAAAUUUCUGUAAGUAAUGUUAGUACUACUAAUAUUAUCCCUGUUCUGAUUCUUACUAUUACUAUUAUUUGUUUUCCCAUAUACUUUGCCAACAAAGCACCUGGCAGGUCCAGUAAGAAAAGGAAGUUUCCAAACAGGUGACAGAAGGAAACCAAAUGAUUUAAGUAUGCAAGUGGUGGUGGUGGUGUUGGGAAGGUUCAGGAACCAUGGGGGAGGCAAGAUUUUUUGUUAUGUCUUUUGUGGCAACAACAGCACGGUUUGGACGGACAGAAGCAAGGUUUUAGGCAUCCCAGUCCCCUUUUUCAGUCCUGGUUCCUUCCCAGCAUCCUGAGGAAAGGUACUGUCAUACCCCAAAGGUUGCCUGUAUCUUACAGUUGGUCUGGUAAAACAGGGGUCAAAAAACCUAUGGCCUGUGGUUUGGAUCCAGCCUGUGAAGAAACUGGUUCUAGCCUGUAGCAGUUCAACCAAGGAGCAGCACACUCCCAUGGUGACAGCAGCAGGGACAUCCCCAGCAGCCUGUUGCCACUGCGUUCAGUUUGUUCUUUGUGCUGCAGCAGAAGCAGCCUCCCCAGGGUCCCGGCCCCUGCCUCUUUCUUUUGAGUCCCUUCACAGCCUGUGGAGAUUGCCGGGGACCAAGCUGUCACGUUGGCAACGGUGCACAACGGCAAAAGAACGGCCCUUCCCUGCAAGGAAAGAUUGCACCUAACUCCGAGCGAGCAGAGCAGAGCAUGGACACAGAGCGAGAUGCUCAUCAGUAGGGUAGUCUGGCCUUGCCGUUGCUAGGAGUGCCCAAGUAGGGAGGUGUUGGAAUAAUUUCUCAGCUUUUUCCCUAGAUCGCUCUAAGAGGAGAGGGGAGCGCUAAGCACACUUGGGUUCGUGCACGCUCCCCAUCGUUUUCAGAAGCGGACGGCAGGAGAAAGUUUGCGGUCAGCGAUAGCAGCACAAGGCCACGCAACCAGGCUGGGGAACGUGGGGCUCUUUCCUAAACCAGGAGUGGCAGGACUUGCACAGCUUUGCCAGGAUCCUGGCUGUUGUGGAGAGACUUUGGGUUGGAGAUGGAUGCAAAGAAGUGGAGGCGUGCCAUGGUGAUGGAGGAUAGAGCAGGAGGAGUAGUGUGAUGGAAGGUGGACUUACCUCAAGCGGGGGUGGUGUUUUGAGUGGGGGUGUCUGGGUGGGUUGGGAAGUCCCUGCUCUGGGUUGGUGUCCUGAGCUGCACGCUCCCAGGGCAGGGCUACUCAAGCGGAGGGCCAUGGCACCCAGGAGUGCCUCUGAGAUGAGUGGUGUAUGGCUGGGCUGGCUUGGCCCAGAGUUGCUCUGAGUCUGUGCAAAGAUCUCCAGGUUGCGGUGGGACAGAGGAUUGGGUCUCUGCCUGGCUGUACCUGUUGCCACAUGCCUCCUUUCAGUGCUGGGAAUUGCAUUUAUGUCUCAUCUCUCUGGGUGUGUCACUGGUGUCUGUCUUUGUACUUCUGUUCUUAAAAAUCACUGCAGCACUUGUUACUUUGUUCUUCCCAGGACUGAAAGGAGGGUUGUGUUUGCAUGUAAAUUGAUCCCCUCACUUGGGAGGGGUGUAGCUGCAGCCCCCUGCGGUUUGUUAGUGGGGCCAGUCCAAGCUGCUGUUGUACCCCUGGUUGGGAGGGAGGGGAUGCUGUCCCGUUGGUGGUGUGAGACCUGCGCAUAGCGCUGCAAGUGUUAAUUUCUGUUGUUCAUUUUUGGCGGUGUGGACAUGUUUGGCAAGAUGACCAAAGUCUGGUCCUGAGUGGAGAAGAGCUGAGGAAGAGGUGAAGAGCCCUGGAGCUGGUAUGGCGUGGAAGGAGUUGGAGACGGCCCGAAGCCAUGCUCACAUGAUCACCUGGAGCGAGGUAUUUGCUUCUUGUGGGUUGCAGCUCUGGAUGGAGAGAUCCUGCAGUUGCAGGUGCCUGCAUCGUAUCUGGGAAAGGGAUAGCAAGCAUGAGGACUGAUGGCGCACAAGGACUGAAGGCGCAGCGUGAUGCCAGGUGUGGAGCCAUCUUCUGAAGGCUUGAGGGCUGUGGAGCAGACUCUGUGAAGAUGAAGUGAAGAGUCCCAGAGAUGGUGCAGGAGGAAACGGGCAGCCCUGUUGUGACUUCCUGAUUUGCGUGGUGUGAGGCCUCUUCCCCUGUGGCAUCACCUGGCUGGAGUCUGGGGAGGUUUUGUGUGUAGCUUUGCAGGCGGUGCGUCUCCGCUCCCACUUCUUGCUGUGAGGAUGCCUGGAUAAGCAGCAGCAUGAUUGUGGCUGGGUGGCCUCAAUGUUGUGGGGGAGAGGAACAGAAGCGAGGCUUCUGCGGUGGUGGUAGAAGAUGGAGGAACUGGAUCCCGAAAGGUGGGCUGGGUUAAAGUGGGAGGCUGGGUUGCGUUUUCCCUGGUCGUGUUUGGGUGGGGAAGGAAACGCCUUGUGCGUAAUGGGGUCUGGAGCUGCGUGCUGUCUGGGAAGUGAUGCUGAAGCAGGGACUUGUGGCCCUUAGGGAUGCUGCAGAGCAGGGGGUGUAAGCCUGAAUUGGGUUUAGUUUGGUGGUGAGACCUGACUCCUUGUAAAGGCUGGAAAUUGUCCUUGAGUAUAUUAGGGGUUUCAGUGUUUGCCCCUGGCUUCUGGGUGCAGGUGACAGCAUUGGAUGUGCUGGGACAGAGGAGCGGGUGCGUGCGUGUCCGCCUCUGCCUGGCUGUUGCUGCUGCCACUGGUCUUCCUUCAGUUCUGGGAAUUGCACUCUGUCCUAUGUCUCUGGGUGUGUCACUGGUGUUUCUUUCUACUUUGAUAUCUAAAAUCACAGCAGCACUUCUUCUUUCUUUCUUUGCUCUUCCCAGAGCUGGAAGGAUAGGUGUGUUUGCAACUGAAUUGAUCCCCUCAUUUGGGUGGGCUUUGACUGCACCCUGUGUGCCUCGCGUGCGAGUGGGGGUGUUAUGCUUUCGGUGUCCUAGGCUGCUGGGGGUGGGGGGCGUUGUCUCUGCUGUCAGUACUAUGAGAUGUGAAUACUGUUGCGUGUAGUAAUUGCUUGUUGUUUUGGGUGUGAUGUUAAUAUGUCGAGCGUGAGUGGAGAAGAGCUGAGGCGAAGAGACCUAGAGCCAGCGCUAGGUAGAAGCGGGUGGAGGAAGCAGGUGGUCGUGCAGCCAUGCUCGCUUCUGGGUCACCUGGAGGGAGGCCUCUGCCUGUUCGGUGGACCUGUGUGCAUGAGCAGAGCCUGCAGAGGUCCCUGCUUCCCCUGUGUGGAGAGGAUGGCAAGGAGGGAGGAGAGUGCGCCGGAGGAAGAGGAGCGCGAUGCCAGGUCCCAUGAGUGCUGUCUCUUGGGGGUCCUGACCUGUGCAGAGGGAAAUGACUGCCGGUUGAAGGAGUGAAGCUGAGCAGCGCCCACGGAGGGUGAAGCAGGAGGAACUCGAUGCCGCACGGCGUGUCGGUGCCGGAUGGGCAGUUCUGGCAAUUGCAGGUGCCUGUCUCCCGUAUGGGGAGAGGAUGGCAAGCAAGGAUGCUUGAGGGCUGGAGGAGAAGAGUGAUGCCAGGUGUGGCAAGUGCUGGCGGUCAGGGGAGUCCUCUUGCCAAGGCUUCAGGACUGUGAAGCAGAGACUGGAAGAAGAGGUGAAGAGCCCCAGAGAUGGCGGAGGAGAAAACGCACAGCUGUCUCCUGACUUCCCAAUUUGUGUGGCGUCAGGUCCCUGGCCCUGUGGCAUCACGCAGUUGGAACCUGCGGUGUGUCUGAGCUUCCUCGGAGCGGUGCGAUGUCUUCGUUUCCCUGUCUGACCGUUUCUUUCACAGUUGUUCUAUCAUGUUUGCAGGAUGUACUGUGUGUAUGGUGGUUGCUGUGGUGCAUUGCUUUUUGAUGCCCUGUGACUAUCUGGCUCUGGGCGGCCACAGGCAAGCCUUUAAGAGCUCAGCUAGCGAGUAGUGGGUCUGGAUGUGUCUGCCGGGUGUUUGCAGAGGAGCUUUCCCUGUCUCUAGCUUUGUGCCGUUUCUUCUGCUCUCUGGGCUGGCUAGGUUUCUGUUCUUUUUCCAGCAUAGUCUAUCUUGAUGGGGUGAAGGAUACAGGGAGUACUGUGCCACAGUGUUGGAAGAUGAAGGAACAGAAUACUUAAAAGUGGGCUUGGUUAGGGAGGGGUGGUGGGGUGGUGGUGAGUGGUUUCUUCCCUGUGGUUUUUUGGGUGAGGGAGCAAACGCCUAGUGUCUGAUAGUGUCUGGCGCUUCUUGUUUCCAGCAGGGUUCUGGCCUCCUGGGGUGCCCCAGAGCUGGAUGGUGUAAGCCUGGGUUGGGUUUAGCCUGUGUGUGUGUCCUGGCUCUCUUUGUACAGGCUGACAAUAAUCUUUGAGUAUAUAGGUGGUUUCAGUGUUUGCCCCUGGCAUCUGGAUGCAGAUCUUGUCCCUGGGUGUGGUGGGGCAGAGGAGCGGGUGCCUGUCUCUCUGCCUCUGCCUGCCUGUUGCUGCUGCUGGCCUCCCUUCCGUUCUGGGAAGGGCACUUUGUUCUGUCUGUCUGGGUUUGUCACUGGUGUUUCUGUCUACUUGGAUUUUGAACAUCAGUGCAGCACUUGUUGUUCUUGCUUUCCUAUUCCCAGAGCUGGAAGGAGGGCUGUGUUGGCAAUUAAAUUGGUCCCCUCCUUUGGGAGGGGUCUGAAUGCACCCUAUGUUGCUUGUUUGGGGCAGUUGCUUGUGCUUUGUCCUUUUGUUUGGUAGUGAACUUUCCCCAUGUGCUGUCAGGAGGUUCCUGCAUCCUGUGAGAGGAGACGAAGCGAAGCAGGGACAAGUGAGGGCUGCAGAAGGAGCGGCAUAAUGCCAGGCACGGUGAGGGCUGUCCCGAGGCUAAAGCCUUUUCUGCGGCUGAAUGGGAGGCGUUGUAGCCGGGCGCCCCUCGGAGACCUUUGAGCCGGGGAGCGGGUGUGUGGUGUGGGAGUUGUACUGUGGGUUCCUUCUCCUUGGUUGUGGUCCUGGAGUGACUACCUGUUCUCUUCCUUCUAGGGUCCUGGCCCGUGUGCAGGGAAAUGUAUGCUGGUUCAGGGGGUGGAGUGGACUAGUGCCCAUGGAGGAUGAAGCAGUAGGAGUUGGCUGUUGCAUGGUGUGUUGGCAUUGAAUGGGCACAUCUUGCAGUUGGUAAAUGAUUGCUUGAAGCAGUGUGGGGUUGCCCAGGUCUGGCAGGUUUUUGUGCUUUGCCCUUUGUUGUUUUCUGUGCUCGUUGCACCGAGGUUUUCCUUUGCGUCCUCGGCAGGCGCUUGCCUCCCGUGGGGAAGGGAUGGCAAGCGAGGCUGCGCAAGGGGUGACGGAGCACUGCGAUGCCACGUGUGGCGCGUGCCGGUUCUCUGGGCUGAGGCCUUCGCCCUGGUGUCUGCGUGCCCUCUGUGUGCCCUUUGCAGUGUGAUGAGGUGCUCUGUUGGCUUGCUGUGUGUUGUGGGACUUGCUCAGUGGUUUGCUCAUCCUGUGUUUAGUUCUGCUUGUUGGGCUGAUCACUUGUUGUCUGUUCUCUGUACGGUCCUGGUAUGUGUGGAGGAAAAGGAAGAGGGCUAAGGAGCGGAGCAGAACAGUGGUAAUGGAGGAAGAGAAGCAGGAUGCUGGGAGGUGGGGUGGGUUGGGGCGGGCGGUGUCUGGGUGUGGUGGGAAGGCCCUGGUCUGGCAUGGUGUCUAUGUUAGGUGAUCCCAGUCAGAGAUGCUGGAGCAGGAUGUUGCGGCAUUUGAGCUUCCUCUCAUCUCUUGCGGUGGCCUGCUGUGUCCAGGGGCCCCUCGUGCGGCUCUUCACGAGGCUUGAGAAUGCGUGCCUGUCCCUGCCAGCAGGUUUUUUGGCUCCUUGAGCUGUGUUUGCUACAACACUUGGGUGGCGGUGUCUGGCCCUCUCCAGGUUUUGGCGGGGCAGAAGUUUGGUGCGUCUUUGCCUACCUGGCUGUCUUGGCACAGGCUCUCCCACCGGUGCUGGGACUGGCUUGUCCUCUGUCCAUGUGCCUUUGUUUGUCUUGUUGUCUUGAAAGUUGUUGCAGCCUUUCUCUGUUGUUCCCAGAUCUGGCAGGAGACCUGUGUUUGCACACCUAAAUUGCUUCCCUUGCUAUCGAAGGGAAAGUCCUGAGGGGUCUGGCUGUCCUGUGACAGCUGUUGGCCGGGGGUUGGGGCGUAGGGGAUAAGUCGCGUGCGGCGUCUCGGCAGGGAGCGGCCGUUGUCCCCAGUGCCGCGAAGCCUCGGAGUUGUCGAUAGUGCCAAUUGCCUUUUCCUUACGUGUGUGGAGGAGCAAUCUUGUGAAGGUUGCAGGCCUAUGAAGCAGCCACUGGGAAGAUUUCAUAGACAUUCGGGCUGGAAGGGACCUCGGAAGAUCAUCGAGUCCAGCCCCCCGCCCAAAGGGCAGGAAGUCAGCUGGGGUCAUAGGAUCCCAGCAAGAUGAGCAUCCAGUUUGCUCUUAAAGGUGUUCAGUGUAGGCACUUGAACCGCCUCCGGCGGCAGGCUAUUCCAGACCUUGGGGGCUCGGACAGUAGAGAAAUUCUUCCUUAUGUCCAGCCCGAAACGGUCUUGUAGUAGUUUAUGACCGUUCGACCUAGUCGUCAUCCCUUGGGGCGCGCUCUGGUGAACAAACGUUCCCCCAGAUAGUGGUGGUCACCCCCGAUAAACUUAUAGGUGGCCACCAGAUCACCCCUGAGCCUGCGCUUUUCCAGGCUAAAGAGCCCCAGGGCUCUCAGCCUGUCGUCGUAGGGUCUGCUUCCCUGAGCUCUGAUCAUGCGCGUGGCUCUUCUCUGGACUCUCUCAAGCUUCUCCACAUCCUUUUUGAAUUGUGGAGCCCAAAACUGGACGCAGUGCUCCAGCUGCGGCCUCGCCAGGGCCAAGUAUAAGGGGAGAAUGACGUCCCGGGAUUUGCUUGAGAAGCAUCUGUGAAUGCAAGCCAGCGUUUUGGUCGCUUUAAUAGCCGCAGCAUCGCACUGCAGGCUCAUGUUCAUCUUGUGGUCAAUGAUGACCCCCAAGUCUCUUUCUUCCAUAGUGCUAGCCAACGUAGCACUGUUGAGCCUAUAAGGAUGCUGCAGGUUUUUCUUCUCAAGGUGGAGAACCUUGCAUUUAUCGGCGUUGAACACCAUCAGAUUAUCGUCCGCCCACUUGCUGAGCCUGUCCAGGUCAGCCUGGAUCGCCCGCCUGUCUUCUGGCGUGGAUGCUUUGCCCCAAAGUUUGGUGUCGUCGGCGAACUUGGCCGGCCCGCUUCUGACUCCAGUGUCCGCAUCGUUAAUGAAGAUGUUGAACAGUAUGGAUCCAAGGACAGAGCCUUGGGGGACCCCGCUGGUCACAGGACACCACGAUGAGUGACUUCCAUCAAUUACUACCCUCUGGGUCCGACCACGGAGCCAAUUUUCCAUCCAGUGGAUCCUGGAGGACCCAAGGUGACAAUUGGCCAGAGGCGAUCGUGGGAAACCAGAUCAAAGGCUUUUUUGAAGUCAAGAUAUGACAUCAAUCUCUUCUCCCUUGUCCAGGUGAUAGGUCACCCGGUCGUAGAAGGAAAUGAGAUUGGUCAAGCGAGACCUACCCGCAACAAACCCGUGCUGGCUAUCCCUUAAGACGUUGGCGUCGGCCAGUCCGUUAAGGAUGGCCUCUUUAAUUAACUUUUCUAAGAUCUUCCCCGGGAUAGAAGUCAGGCUGAUGGGCCUAUAGUUAGCCGGAUCCACUUUCCUCCCUUUCUUGAAGAUAGGCACCACAUUGGCCUUCUUCCAGUCUUCGGGCACGACACCAGAGCGCCAAGAGUUGUCAAAGAUCCGCGAUAGAGGCUGGGCUAUGAUGCUCGCCAGCUCCUCGAGUACCCUGGGGUGAAGAUUGUCAGGGCCGGCUGAGUCGAAGGUAUCCAGCUUUUCAAGAUGUUCCUUCAUGAAGUCAGCAUCAAUGGAGGGCAGGGGAUCACGCUCACCCGGUGAAGAGACCCACAGUGGGCAGCCCUGUUAUGAUGUUCCGAUUUGGCACGGUGCGAGGCCUCUACCUCUACUGUGUCACCUGGCUGGAGUGUGUGGUGGGUCUGAGCUCCCUUGGAGCAGCGCGAUGUAUUUGUCUUCCUGCUUUGUCACUUUUUCCACGCUUGUUCUUUCAGGUUUCCAGGAGGUUUUGUGCGUGUACCUGUGCAGGUGGUGUGUCCCCACUCUGUCUUCUGGCUGUGAGGAUGCCUGGAUAAGGAGCAGCGUGGUUGUGGCUGUGGUGAGCAGUGCCUGUUGGAGAUGAGGGCUGUCCUGUGGUGGCUGUGCCCUGUGUAAGCUAGGUGGGUUUUUGAUUGCCUGUGAAUAUCCAGUUCAGGCUGGCCAGAAGCAAGCGUUUGAGAGCUCAGGUAGUGGGUUGUGGUGCUGGAGGUUUGGAGAGGAGCUUACCUUGGCUCUGACUAGGUUGCCUUGUGUCCCCUGUUUGGGGUGAUGAGGGUUUUGUUUGAUUUCUAGUGGCUUUGAUCUUGUGGGGGAGAAGGAUGUGAGGGCAUGUUGUGCUGUAGUGAUGGAAGAUGGGGGAACAGGGUGCUGAAAAUUGGUUUGGUUUAGAGUAGCAGGGUGGAGUGGCUGGUUUGCUCUGGUGAUGUUUGGCUCGGGGGUGGGGGGGUGCCAGUCUCUGCCUGUGUGUUGCUGCUGCCACCGGCCUCCCUUCAGUUCUGGGAGCUGUACUCUGUGUUGUCUCUCUGGGUGUGUCACUGGUGUUUCUUUCUGCUUUGAUAUUGAAAAUCACAGCAGCACUUUUUGUUCUUCCUUUGCUCUUCCCAGAGCUGGAAGGAUGGGAGUGUUUGCAUGUAAAUUGGUCCCCUCCUUUGGGAGGGGUUUGCUUGUACGCUCUGUGCCUUGUGUGGGGGUGGCGGCUGUGUGCUGCUUUUGGAGACCGGGGCGGGUGCAUCUCUCUCCUUAGUACUGAGAUGUGAAUACUGUUUCGUGUAGUACUUGCUUGUUGUUUGGGGGGUGAUGCAAAUAUCUGGACCCUGAGCGGGGAAGAGAUCAGGUAGAGGUGAAGUGACCUAGUGCCACCACCAUGCAGAAGGAGGUGGAAGAAGUUGGUGGCUGUGUCCCUGUCGUCAUUUCUGGUUCUCCUUGAGCGAGGCCUUUGCCUGUCAGGUGGAGCUGUGUGCGUGGACAGAGCCUGCAGGAGGUUUCUGUUUUUCUCCAGCCCAGUCCUGGGUGUUGGGCAUUGACUAGGUAGGGUAGACGACUGGAGAUCGAUCUGGAUGUUUCUGACUGGGUCCUGGUCCUUGGAGAGAAGUUUGAGCAGAGAAGGGUGGAAGAUGGAGGCAGAGAGGAUGGUGCAAGCAGGGGGUCUUUUUACCAAGACUUUUGGGGCAGGGAGGAGAAGUGGAGAUUGGGCAGAAGAAGAGAAGACAUCUUGAAGUCAUGAACCAUGGAGCUGCCUGUCAUUGGUGCAUGGAACAUGUGAUGGGUGCUUGUGCUGUAGCUCUGUCGUGAGGAGCGGGGCACGGGCAGUGACAUGCUGAGGGCUGGAGAAGGAGCACCACAAAGAUGGCUGUGAGGCCUUGGUCAGGCGUGAAGUAUGUGAGCCAGGAGAGUCGUACAGCACACAGGCAGGAUGGAGGUAGAAAAGGGAUGGGGGAGUGGUUGGUGGGGAGGGGGUUG